rnacentral:miRNA from 1 species
CUAUAUAUUUAGGUUGGUACAAAAGUAAUCACUUUUUUUGCCAUCCCUUUAGUGGCAAACACUACCAUUACAUUUGCACCACCCUCAUAGUAUUGCAGUCUUGGG